UCAGAGUCGUGGAGAACUCGAAAAGGCCAUAGUAAUUCCGGGGAGGACUCGUCGAGUAUAAGAGUAUCCUGAUGAGGUUUGAUGAAUUUGCGAGGUUUGGUGAGGUGCUUGGUGGAGAAGAUGUUUGGGUAGGCAGUGGAGAGGAGAGCAGCUGCUUCAUUGUAAGUUUGGUUGGGACGUUUUCGAGGAGUUCGAGGUUUUCUUGUAGUGAUUGCUAGAGGAGAAUUGCUAGAUUCAGAGAUGGUAGAAGAUGGAGAAGAUGAUUGAGAAGUUCUAGUUGACGUUGAUGGUGAUUUCACUCUUUCUAAAUCGAACCCAUAGGUUCUACUACCUCCACUUAAACAAGGAGAAGACAUAGUUCUCGGAAGGAAAAUGGAUUUUGUGAUUUGAAGAUUUCAAAGAAAACCCAGAAUUUGGAGGAGGAAACCCAUUCCUGAAUUGAGCUCAAAGUUGAAGACUGAGAUGGAAUUAUGAAGAAAUUUUCAGAUCCAAUUGCAGGAAAAGCUGAAAAUUCACUUUUUGAUGUGAUAAUUG
rnacentral:misc_RNA from 1 species